AUAUGUAUAAUACAAUUAAUUGAAUCUGUAUCAUAGAGAGUGAAAUAU
rnacentral:guide_RNA from 1 species